rnacentral:rRNA from 1 species
UACGUAGGGGGCAAGCGUUGUCCGGAAUCAUUGGGCGUAAAGAGCGUGUAGGCGGCCCGAUAAGUCCGCUGUGAAAGUCCAGGGCUCAACCCUGGGAUGCCGGUGGAUACUGUCGGGCUCGAGUCCGGAAGAGGAGUGUGGAAUUCCUGGUGUAGCGGUGAAAUGCGCAGAUAUCAGGAGGAACACCAAUGGCGAAGGCAGCACUCUGGGACGUGACUGACGCUGAGACGCGAAAGCGUGAGGAGCAAACAGG